GAGCGCCGUAUGAGCUGAAAGGUUCACGUACGGUGUGGAUCCGGGGAAAAGUUGGAGAUAACAUCAAAUUCUUACCUAUGGAUAU
rfam:Bacillus circulans strain RIT379 contig28, whole genome shotgun sequence.